rnacentral:rRNA from 1 species
GAUGAACGCUAGCGGAAGGCUUAAUACAUGCAAGUCGAGCGGUAUAGUGACUUCGGUUGCUAGAGAGCGGCGCACGGGUGAGUAACGCGUACAUGACCUACCUCUAAGAUCGGGAUAGCCCUGGGAAACUGGGAUUAAUACCGGAUGUGAUAAUAAGUAUAAGGAUUUAUUAUUAAAGUUGAGGCGCUUAGAGAUGGGUGUGCGUCUGAUUAGCUAGUUGGUAGGGUAAGGGCCUACCAAGGCGACGAUCAGUAGGGGGCGUGAGAGCGUGAUCCCCCACACGGGUACUGAGACACGGACCCGACUCCUACGGGAGGCAGCAGUAGGGAAUAUUGGUCAAUGGACGGAAGUCUGAACCAGCCAUUCCGCGUGCAGGAAGAAGGUCCUAUGGACUGUAAACUGCUUUUAGCAGAGAAGAAACGCCUUCAUUUAUGAGGGUCUGACGGUAUCUGCGGAAUAAGCACCGGCUAACUCCGUGCCAGCAGCCGCGGUAAUUGACG